GGACCAGGCAAUGACACAGCCACUCCAGCAGCAUUUCUGUGUGAUUGCUCUGUUUCCUGACUGUGUUUAGCAUGGACUAUGAAGAGACCUGCUUCUUUCUGAUCAGCCACUAUGAAGUGGACAGGACAUCAUCUGCUGCACCAAGUGGCUUAGUGCUGCACCAAGCAGCUUAGCAGACUGCUGCACCAUAGCAGCAGUUAUGACAAAAAAGAGAAAGAAAAGGAAGGAAAAAAGAAAGAGAGGAAGAACUGGAGACCCUGGGCCUCCAGGCGCAGGUGAGCUGAGGGGCUGGCUAAGGCAACACCAUCCCAGGCACAGGCUUAACACAGAAGACAAGCCUAAUUGAAUGCCAGCGAAGGGAACAACUGAGGCCCUGAAGGCCCGUGGUUGGAGGUCCCCCCAUCCCUAAAAACCAUGUCACGGCACCAUUUGUUAUUCUUUCCCCGGGUGGGUUGGCGGAGCCCGCCAUGAGAAAGUAGCUACAGGAGGGCACGCGCUGCGCCCACGGUGGCGGCAGGGAACAGGCACAUAAACACAGGAAAUAGCCAUAAGUAUUUAUUAAGGAAGAGGAAGAAAGGAAGAAAGAAAGAAAGAAAGAAAGAAAGAAAGAAAGAAAGAAAGGAAGAAAGAAGAAAUAAAAGGAGAGAAAAAAAGAUAAAAGAAGAGACAGAGAAAACGCAUGCACACGCCAAGAAAGCAGAAAGAGGAAGGGUCCCAAGAUGGCAACGGGCAGGUCAGAGGUUAUGGGAGUGGGCGUGGCUAGGGCAGGGACAGAAAGAAUAACAUCCUUGAUCUCUUUUUGUUGUCUUAAUGUUCUAUCCAGAUCUUCAAGAACUAUGAUGAAUAGAUAUGGAAUGAGUGGUCAACCUUAUCUUGUUGCCAAUUUUAGUAGAAUCAUUUUGGGUGUCUCCAUUUAAUUGGAUGUUUGCUGUCAAUUUGUUGUAUAUUGCUUUUCUUCUGUUUAUGUUUUUUCUAUCCAUGAUCUCUCCAAGACCUUUAUCAUGAAGGAGUGUUGCAUUUACUCAAAUACUUUUUUCAGCAUAAUGAGAUGAUUAUGAGGUCUUUUCUUUCAGUUUAUAUAUAUGGUGGGUUACAUUAAUUGAUUUUCAUAUAUUGAACCAGUAUUUGCUGAAUAAUUAUUACCUUUUCACUAUCAUAAACUUAAUAUGUACAUCCAUCAUAAAAUAGAAACUGUCUUUUUUUUCUUUUGGUUUUUUGAGACAGGGUUACUUUCUGUAACAGCCCUAGAUGUCCUGGAACUAGCUCUUGUAGACCAGGCUGGCCUCAAAUUCAGAGAUCCACCUGCCUCUGCCUCCCAAAGCUGGGAUUAAAGGAAUGCACCACCACUACCUGGCUAGAAACUGUCUUUACUAUAUUAAAUAGAAAUUCUUAACAUUAUAGCCUCUAAAGAUAAAUAUAGGGGAUAUUUUGAUAAAUUUAACCAUAUUUAUUGUUAUUUCCCUUCAUUAAUUUGGGCAUAAAGCAUGUAUGUGCUUAUUGCCCUUUUAAUAGUUAUACAGAAUUUUUAUAGGUUUAUAUCACUGACAGAAUGCUAUACCCAGUUAAAAUUUAAUUCCUAGGUAUAAUUGCUUAAAUAUAUCAAUGUGUCAAAUUAACAUGUUCAAAAAUUCAUACACAAGAUGUUUCUUUGAUUUGUUUAUUAAUACAAAAGUAGUAUGUAGCAAUUACUUAUAUUCAUAAGUAAUGUUAAAUGUGACAGUUUGAUUAUUACAUAUAUACUAAUUUAAAGAUGAAAUAAUAUGCUUUCUUUUCACCAUCAAUCAGAAGAUUUGAUCAGAAUGUGUUGAGAAGAUUGGAGAGAUUAUGAAAAGUUAUGGGUAGAAAUAGACACUGAAGUCCUUGCAUCUAUUUUUUCUAUUGAUUAUUUUGCUAGAAUACACCACAUUCUGAAUUUUAAGGCACAUAGGAGCUUUUAAUGAGCUGUUUUGCAUUUGUGGCAGUUAUUUCUCAGGCUCCAAAUUAAUCACUAUAUAUCAAUACAAAUUUACACUUAUAAGAAGAAAUGAGUUAAACAAUACUUCAAACAUAAAUUGAAACUCUAUUAGUAA